GAUGAACGCUGGCGGCAUGCCUAACACAUGCAAGUCGAUCGGUAAGGCUCUUCGGAGUACCCGAGAGGCGGACGGCUGAGUAACGCGUAGGAACACACCCUGCAGUGAGGGAUAAGACACCGAAAGGUGUUCUAAUACCGCAUACGGUCUUCGGAUUAAAGCAUUUAUGCGCUGAAGGAGUGGCCUGCGUCAUAUUAGAUAGUUGGUGAGGUAAUGGCUCACCAAGUCGAUGAUGUGUAGCUGGUCUGAGAGGAUGAUCAGCCAGACUGGAACUGAGACACGGUCCAGACUCCUACGGGAGGCAGCAGUGAGGAAUAUUUCACAAUGAGCGAAAGCUUGAUGGAGCAAUGCCGCGUGCAGGAUGAGGGCCCUCGGGUUGUAAACUGCUUUUAUAAGAGAAGAUUAUGACGGUAACUUAUGAAUAAGGGACGGCUAACUACGUG
rnacentral:rRNA from 1 species